rnacentral:rRNA from 1 species
AGGACGAACGCUGGCGGCGUGCUUAACACAUGCAAGUCGAACGAUGAAGCCUUCGGGUGGAUUAGUGGCGAACGGGUGAGUAACACGUGGGUGACCUGCCCUUAGCUCUGGGAUAAGCCUAGGAAACUGGGUCUAAUACCGGAUAUGACCUCAUGACGCAUGUUGUGGGGUGGAAAGCCUUGUGCGGCUAGGGAUGGGCCCGCGGCCUAUCAGCUUGUUGGUGGGGUGAUGGCCUACCAAGGCGACGACGGGUA